UCGAGUAUUAUAUUGAAUUUGCUUUAUUUGUUAUACGUAUAAAUUAAUGUGUUCACUUAAGCUAAAAUGAGGGUGCAAGUCAAUGAAACAAAAAACCCAACAAAUUGCAAUAAUAAAAAAAAUAUUAGUGGCUAGAUUCCUAGAAGAAGUGAUUUUCUGGCAUUUAACUGGUCUAUUGUGCGGAUUUGUUGGUACAAAGGUCAAAAAUUCCACAAAGCAUUGAUUGGGAGAGCCUAUACUCGGGAUAUAAUGAACAAUGGGACGUGUGUGUUUAUCAAUUUUUAGCACAAUUCAUUUUGGAAGAUUUGAAGAUCGAUGUAUUUGGAUUAUUUUCAUUGAAUCGGAAACUUUGCUUAAAUUUAUUUUCAAUGAUGGUUGGAUAUUUGACUAUAUUGAUACAAUUCAGUAUAAUGGGAUACUUUAAAGAAGAGUUGUAAAAGUGUUUUGAAAAAAUAAUUAUGAAA